ensembl:lncRNA
GUUUGUGUCAGCUGUCUUGUCUGUGUCCCCUGCCAGCUCCGUGUUCCUUGCUGUCAGGCCAGCAGGAGAAGCUGAAAUGUCCUUGGUUCCAGGGAAAUAAACUGCUAGAAAAUCACAGAGGAUCUCAUGGUGUCAUAACAAAUGCAAUAACAAGUCAGUCUUUGUGGACAGAGUUGAGGUUGACUGGCCUAUAGUUUCCUGAAUCCUCCUUCUUGCCCUUUUUGAAGAUUGGAUUGACACUGGCUAUCCUCCAGUCUUCAAGCACCUCUCCUGUUCACCAAGACUUUACAAAGAUUUUCAGCAACCACCUCUGCCAGCUCCCUCAGCACACAUGGGUGAAUCCCAUUGGGGUCCAUGGACUCAUAUGCAUUGAUUUUGAC